UACGAAGGGGGCUAGCGUUGCUCGGAAUCACUGGGCGUAAAGCGCACGUAGGCGGAUUGCUAAGUCAGGGGUGAAAUCCUGGAGCUCAACUCCAGAACUGCCCUUGAUACUGGCGGUCUCGGGUCCGGGAGAGGUGAGUGGAACUGCGAGUGUAGAGGUGAAAUUCGUAGAUAUUCGCAAGAACACCAGUGGCGAAGGCGGCUCACUGGCCCGGUACUGACGCUGAGGUGCGAAAGCGUGGGGAGCAAACAGG
rnacentral:rRNA from 1 species